rnacentral:rRNA from 1 species
AAUAUUGGACAAUGGGCGCAAGCCUGAUCCAGCCAUGCCGCGUGAGUGAUGAAGGCCCUAGGGUUGUAAAGCUCUUUCUCCGGUGAAGAUGAUGACGGUAACCGGAGAAGAAGCCUCGGCUAACUUCGUGCCAGCAGCCGCGGUAAUACGAAAGGGGCUAGCGUUGUUCGGAUUUACUGGGCGGAAAGCGCACGUAGGCGGAUUGGUCAGUUAAGGGUGAAAUCCCAGGGCUUAACCCUGGAACUGCCUUUAAUACUGCCAGUGUUGAGUAUGGAAAGGGGGAGGGGGAUUGCGAGUGUAGAGGUGAAAUUCGUAGAUAUUCGCAGGAACGCCAGUGGGAAAGGCGGCUCACUGGUCAAUUACUGACGCUGAGGUGCGAAAGCGUGGGGAGGAAACA